GGAUUGCCUGGUUUGAGGGAUAUUGGCAGCACUCCUGGGGAUUGUUUAUAAAUAAAGGAAAAAGGUUUCUCAAUUCCAAAGUUCCUUGUACAAUCUAUCCUAAUCCCCCUGAUCGCUUCUAAUAAUUCCAAAUUGCGCAGAUAUAAAUGUGAAUCAUAAAGUGCAGUGCAGGGCAGUGCUGCAUAGCCUCAAAGAAGGA
rnacentral:lncRNA from 1 species